rnacentral:rRNA from 2 species
GGGUUGUGAGGUUAAGCGACUAAGCGUACACGGUGGAUGCCCUGGCAGUCAGAGGCGAUGAAGGGCGUGCUAAUCUGCGAUAAGCGCCGGUAAGGUGAUAUGAACCGUUAUAACCGGCGAUACCCGAAUGGGGAAACCCAGUGUGAUUCGUCACACUAUCAUUAACUGAAUCCAUAGGUUAAUGAGGCGAACCGGGGGAACUGAAACAUCUAAGUACCCCGAGGAAAAGAAAUCAACCGAGAUUCCCCCAGUAGCGGCGAGCGAACGGGGAGGAGCCCAGAGCCUGAAUCAGCAUGUGUGUUAGUGGAAGCGUCUGGAAAGGCGCGCGAUACAGGGUGACAGCCCCGUACACAAAAGCGCAUGUGCUGUGAGCUCGAUGAGUAGGGCGGGACACGUGGUAUCCUGUCUGAAUAUGGGGGGACCAUCCUCCAAGGCUAAAUACUCCUGACUGACCGAUAGUGAACCAGUACCGUGAGGGAAAGGCGAAAAGAACCCCGGCGAGGGGAGUGAAAAAGAACCUGAAACCGUGUACGUACAAGCAGUGGGAGCCCCACCACUAAGCCAGUGGUGAACUCCACAUCCGCAUCCUUUGCUGAGGAUACGGUUAACGGAGCGAAAGCGACGUUCAACCGCAAAACAAGCAGAGGGGGCUUAGUGGUGGGGUGACUGCGUACCUUUUGUAUAAUGGGUCAGCGACUUAUAUUCUGUAGCAAGGUUAACCGAAUAGGGGAGCCGGAGGGAAACCGAGUCUUAAUUGGGCGUUAAGUUGCAGGGUAUAGACCCGAAACCCGGUGAUCUAGCCAUGGGCAGGUUGAAGGUUGGGUAACACUAACUGGAGGACCGAACCGACUAAUGUUGAAAAAUUAGCGGAUGACCUGUGGCUGGGGGUGAAAGGCCAAUCAAACCGGGAGAUAGCUGGUUCUCCCCGAAAGCUAUUUAGGUAGCGCCUCGUGAAUUCAUCUCCGGGGUAGAGCACUGUUUCGGCUAGGGGGCCAUCCCGGCUUACCAACCCGAUGCAAACUGCGAAUACCGGAGAAUGUUAUCACGGGAGACACACGGCGGGUGCUAACGUCCGUCGUGAAGAGGGAAACAACCCAGACCGCCAGCUAAGGUCCCAAAGUCAUGGUUAAGUGGGAAACGAUGUGGGAAGGCCCAGACAGCCAGGAUGUUGGCUUAGAAGCAGCCAUCAUUUAAAGAAAGCGUAAUAGCUCACUGGUCGAGUCGGCCUGCGCGGAAGAUGUAACGGGGCUAAACCAUGCACCGAAGCUGCGGCAGCGAACGUAUCACUUAAAGCGAUUCAGCGGGUUACGAUUGACGGAGCGAAGCGACGUCAAAGCGUAUACAAAGUCGAGUCGGUUUAAGGAUACGUUCGUUGGGUAGGGGAGCGUUCUGUAAGCCCGUGAAGGUGGCCUGUGAGGGUUGCUGGAGGUAUCAGAAGUGCGAAUGCUGACAUAAGUAACGAUAAAGCGGGUGAAAAGCCCGCUCGCCGGAAGACCAAGGGUUCCUGUCCAACGUUAAUCGGGGCAGGGUGAGUCGACCCCUAAGGCGAGGCCGAAAGGCGUAGUCGAUGGGAAACGGGUUAAUAUUCCCGUACUUGGUGUUACUGCGAAGGGGGGACGGAGAAGGCUAUGUUGGCCGGGCGACGGUUGUCCCGGUUUAAGCGUGUAGGUGUGUGUUCCAGGUAAAUCCGGUUCACUUUAACACUGAGGCGUGACGACGAGGCACUACGGUGCUGAAGCAACAAAUGCCCUGCUUCCAGGAAAAGCCUCUAAGCAUCAGGUAACAUCAAAUCGUACCCCAAACCGACACAGGUGGUCAGGUAGAGAAUACCAAGGCGCUUGAGAGAACUCGGGUGAAGGAACUAGGCAAAAUGGUGCCGUAACUUCGGGAGAAGGCACGCUGACACGUAGGUGAAGUGAUUUACUCAUGGAGCUGAAGUCAGUCGAAGAUACCAGCUGGCUGCAACUGUUUAUUAAAAACACAGCACUGUGCAAACACGAAAGUGGACGUAUACGGUGUGACGCCUGCCCGGUGCCGGAAGGUUAAUUGAUGGGGUCAGCGCAAGCGAAGCUCCUGAUCGAAGCCCCGGUAAACGGCGGCCGUAACUAUAACGGUCCUAAGGUAGCGAAAUUCCUUGUCGGGUAAGUUCCGACCUGCACGAAUGGCGUAAUGAUGGCCAGGCUGUCUCCACCCGAGACUCAGUGAAAUUGAACUCGCUGUGAAGAUGCAGUGUACCCGCGGCAAGACGGAAAGACCCCGUGAACCUUUACUAUAGCUUGACACUGAACAUUGAGCCUUGAUGUGUAGGAUAGGUGGGAGGCUUUGAAGUGUGGACGCCAGUCUGCAUGGAGCCGACCUUGAAAUACCACCCUUUAAUGUUUGAUGUUCUAACGUGGACCCGUUACCCGGGUUGCGGACAGUGUCUGGUGGGUAGUUUGACUGGGGCGGUCUCCUCCUAAAGAGUAACGGAGGAGCACGAAGGUUGGCUAAUCCUGGUCGGACAUCAGGAGGUUAGUGCAAUGGCAUAAGCCAGCUUGACUGCGAGCGUGACGGCGCGAGCAGGUGCGAAAGCAGGUCAUAGUGAUCCGGUGGUUCUGAAUGGAAGGGCCAUCGCUCAACGGAUAAAAGGUACUCCGGGGAUAACAGGCUGAUACCGCCCAAGAGUUCAUAUCGACGGCGGUGUUUGGCACCUCGAUGUCGGCUCAUCACAUCCUGGGGCUGAAGUAGGUCCCAAGGGUAUGGCUGUUCGCCAUUUAAAGUGGUACGCGAGCUGGGUUUAGAACGUCGUGAGACAGUUCGGUCCCUAUCUGCCGUGGGCGCUGGAGAACUGAGGGGGGCUGCUCCUAGUACGAGAGGACCGGAGUGGACGCAUCACUGGUGUUCGGGUUGUCAUGCCAAUGGCACUGCCCGGUAGCUAAAUGCGGAAGAGAUAAGUGCUGAAAGCAUCUAAGCACGAAACUUGCCCCGAGAUGAGUUCUCCCUGAGACUUAGAGUCUCCUGAAGGAACGUUGAAGACGACGACGUUGAUAGGCCGGGUGUGUAAGCGCAGCGAUGCGUUGAGCUAACCGGUACUAAUGAACCGUGAGGCUUAACCUUACAACGCCGAAG